rnacentral:piRNA from 1 species
UAUGUGCCUGAAUAUUUCUCUGCAACAUA